rnacentral:rRNA from 1 species
AUUGGGACUGAGAUACGGCCCAGACUCCUACGGGAGGCAGCAGUGGGGAAUAUUGCACAAUGGGCGCAAGCCUGAUGCAGCGACGCCGCGUGCGGGAUGACGGCCUUCGGGUUGUAAACCGCUUUUGACUGGGAGCAAGCCCUUCGGGGUGAGUGUACCUUUCGAAUAAGCACCGGCUAACUACGUGCCAGCAGCCGCGGUAAUACGUAGGGUGCAAGCGUUAUCCGGAAUUAUUGGGCGUAAAGGGCUCGUAGGCGGUUCGUCGCGUCCGGUGUGAAAGUCCAUCGCUUAACGGUGGAUCCGCGCCGGGUACGGGCGGGCUUGAGUGCGGUAGGGGAGACUGGAAUUCCCGGUGUAACGGUGGAAUGUGUAGAUAUCGGGAAGAACACCAAUGGCGAAGGCAGGUCUCUGGGCCGUCACUGACGCUGAGGAGCGAAAGCGUGGGGAGCGAACAGGAUUAGAUACCCUGGUAGUCCACGCCGUAAACGGUGGAUGCUGGAUGUGGGGACCAUUCCACGGUCUCCGUGUCGGAGCCAACGCGUUAAGCAUCCCGCCUGGGGAGUACGGCCGCAAGGCUAAAACUCAAAGAAAUUGACGGGGGCCCGCACAAGCGGCGGAGCAUGCGGAUUAAUUCGAUGCAACGCGAAGAACCUUACCUGGGCUUGACAUGUUCCCGACAGCCGUAGAGAUACGGUCUCCCUUCGGGGCGGGUUCACAGGUGGUGCAUGGUCGUCGUCAGCUCGUGUCGUGAGAUGUUGGGUUAAGUCCCGCAACGAGCGCAACCCUCGCCCUGUGUUGCCAGCACGUCAUGGUGGGAACUCACGGGGGACCGCCGGGGUCAACUCGGAGGAAGGUGGGGAUGACGUCAGAUCAUCAUGCCCCUUACGUCCAGGGCUUCACGCAUGCUACAAUGGCCGGUACAACGGGAUGCGACCUCGUGAGGGGGAGCGGAUCCCUUAAAACCGGUCUCAGUUCGGAUUGGAGUCUGCAACCCGACUCCAUGAAGGCGGAGUCGCUAGUAAUCGCGGAUCAGCAACGCCGCGGUGAAUGCGUUCCCGGGCCUUGUACACACCGCCCGUCAAGUCAUGAAAGUGGGUAGCACCCGAAGCCGGUGGCCCAACCUUUUUGGGGGGAGCCGUCUAAGGUGAGACUCGUGAUUGGGACUAAGUCGUAACAAGGUAGCCGUACCGGAAGGUGCGGCUG